UUUCUACUCCCUCUGUCCGAAAAUACUUGUCAUCAAAAUGGAUAAAAAUAGAUGUAUCUAAAACUAAAAUACGUCUAGAUACAUUUCCUUUUAUCCAUUUUGAUGACAAUUAUUUCCGGACGGAGGGAGUAUUUG
rnacentral:pre_miRNA from 1 species